rnacentral:snoRNA from 14 species
AAUGUCCUGUGCCUAGAGGCUUUGCUGGCAUGACUGCUGUGUUGCAUAUGCAUCAGUAGGUGGCAGAGAGGAGAAAGGCUAUGUCUACACUCAGUGUUCUAACCUGUGAACAUCUGAAUGAUUAGUAGCCUAACAGAG